UAAGACAGAGGGUGCAAACGUUGUUCGGAAUUACUGGGCGUAAAGCGCGUGUAGGCGGCCAAGUAUGUCGGAUGUGAAAUCCCGCGGCUCAACCGUGGAAGUGCAUUCGAAACUGCUUGGCUGGAGUUUCGGAGAGGAAGGCGGAAUGCUUGGUGUAGAGGUGAAAUUCGUAGAUAUCAAGCAGAACACCUGUGGCGAAGGCGGCCUUCUGGACGAUGACUGACGCUGAGACGCGAAAGCGUGGGGAGCAAACAGGAUUAGAUACCCUGGUAGUCCACGCCGUAAACGAUGAGUGCUAGGUGUCAGGGGCUUUGACCCUCCUGGUGCCGCAGCUAACGCAAUAAGCACUCCGCCUGGGGAGUACGGCCGCAAGGCUA
rnacentral:rRNA from 1 species